CAUCCAUGUAAUAACACAUCGUUGCAGGCUUGCAUAAGCUUCAUAACCAGACUACACCUUUAGUAAGGCAGAAGCAAGCUAUCGUGAUCGUAAGCACAUGACAACUGAAUCAGCACAUUCAAAAGCGAAAAGUGGAUGAUUUGCACAUACCCAGGUCAUUUGAAGCAUCAGCAUUGUCCCCAUCCUCCUGCAUUUCUUGCCCAUCCUCAUCGACGUCUUGUUCCUCCUCUUGCUGAAGCUCCUCUCCCGCUGAUGCAUCCUCCUGCACUUGCUCUUUUCCAACCUCAGCCUCACCGGAGUCACCGCCGUCCGGCCUGCUCACCCACCUGGACGCCGGCACCACCACCAACCAAGCCCUCCACCACCUCCUCCCCAUCUGCGGCACCACCAGCAGCAUUGACAAGUGCGGUGGCACCCCUGCCCAAUUGUGGCGGUGAGACGAUGUUGGGAGGCCGCUUGUGGCGGUGAGACGAUGUUGG
rnacentral:lncRNA from 1 species